GAAGAAUUCAAGACACCAUUGACUCCAAUAAAGCUAGAUAUUAAAGAUCUUGAUAUCGUCAUUGAAGAGCUAACAAUACUCAAUCAUUUACCUUGCCAUAUAUGGCAUGAUCUUGGUCUUCAGCUAGGACUCUAUCAGCCUACACUAGAAGACAUCAAUGAAGAUAAUAAUGGAGACUCUAAGAAGUGCUUCAGACAGUGUGUGUCUGCCUGGUUAAGAGGAGAAGAUAAAGUGAGAGAGAAAGGAGGUCCCAGUUGGUCAUCAUUAGCUACAGCACUGGAUAAAGAAGGAAAGCAUCACAUUGCUUCUAACAUUAGAGAUAAAUAUUGUAAAUAACAAACUGACAGUAACACAUCAAGUUUGUAUAUUUCUCCUUAGGGCAGUGUCUAAUUUAUAUUGUUGUUAUUUCUGUUAUUCUUCUUCUUAGAUCCUGAUGGAGCGUUUACUCCACUAACUGGUGGUACAUCAACUGGUAGAGAAGUAGUUGCUAUAUGGAACUACACAGCUCAAUAUUCUGAUGAACUGACCUUCUCUGAUGGAGAAAUACUUCAAAUAUUAGAAGAAGUUGAUGAUAACUGGUAUCAUGGUGUGUGUCAGGAUAAAGUUGGUAUAUUUCCAAAGACUUACGUCAGAGAACCUUAACAACAACCAGCUGCUAACAACCAGCUCUACCUGCUCCUCUUCCUCUCUCUUCAUGAUCCUCUCUUGUAGUCAUUAGCUGUUUAUGAGUUAAUCAAUUGUUUUAUUUGACAUCAUUUUAUUUUAUUCACUGACAAUUUUAUUGUAUUAUUUUAUUUUUUUCUUGCUGUUAUCUUGUUUUCUUGUUGUUGUUCUUACAGUGUGUUGAUAAUGAA